rnacentral:rRNA from 1 species
AUUGAACGCUGGCGGCAUGCCUUACACAUGCAAGUCGAACGGCAGCGCGGGGGCAACCCUGGCGGCGAGUGGCGAACGGGUGAGUAACAUAUCGGAACGUGCCCUGGAGUGGGGGAUAACUAGUCGAAAGACUAGCUAAUACCGCAUACGAUCUACGGAUGAAAGUGGGGGAUCGCAAGACCUCAUGCUCGUGGAGCGGCCGAUAUCUGAUUAGCUAGUUGGUGGGGUAAAGGCCUACCAAGGCGACGAUCAGUAGCUGGUCUGAGAGGACGACCAGCCACACUGGGACUGAGACACGGCCCAGACUCCUACGGGAGGCAGCAGUGGGGAAUUUUGGACAAUGGGGGCAACCCUGAUCCAGCAAUGCCGCGUGUGUGAAGAAGGCCUUCGGGUUGUAAAGCACUUUUGUCAGGAACGAAACGGUGGGGGCUAAUAUCCUCUGCUAAUGACGGUACCUGAAGAAUAAGCACCGGCUAACUACGUGCCAGCCGCCGCAGUAAGAC